CUUACUAUUCUCACAGGUGCUUUACCGAGGUAGCCCCCUUCCUCGAAUGUUAUUGAAAGCACUGUUAUGGUUAUAUUUGCUUUAUUUUUUCUAUUUAUGGCAUGGUUACAUAUCAUUGGCUUCAAUUGCACAAUAAUGGUAUCAAUUAUUUUCUGACAAACAGUUAAGGAUAAGCCAUAAGGAUGUUUCUGUAUACAGGUACGUUAAAGUGGGGUGGUCUAUUUAUUCCAAUCUCAAUAUGUUUGUUAUCAGCCGUCUUGCCAUGCGACAUGACACAUGUGCUUUGGUAGUUAUCUCAGCCCACUCAUCCAGUUGUGUGGUCCCUGAAUAAUCUGCUCUUUGAUUGAAGUCAAGUUCUUGCUGUUCCUAAGCCAAUUGGAAGUGCAAGAAUCUGACGUCUUCCAAAGUUACAGGGGGAAAAGCAGCCCAGGAGUGACAGAUUUCUCCUCUCAGAUAUGUUACACAGACAGAAACAAGGUUGUGGGUGGAUCAACUGUCUGAAAUGUUUCCAGAUUCCCCCAAACACCAGAUAGAAAUUGUUGUUCAGAGAAACUGCUGUUUUGCAUGAAUUGCUGGAUAAGUUGCAGGAGGGAGAUGUUUCUAAAGUCCUUCACAACCAUCCUUCCUCUGAGUCCUUCUGGUCAGCGAUAAAUGCCUCUCACUGGCCAAUAACCAAGAAGAUAACAGAUAAGAAUGUGGCACAUCUUGUACAAAACCUACUGGUGACUGAAAUAAUUUCGUUCAGGAAGUUUGAGAUAGACUCAUUCGCUGAAGGUCUCAAGAAUUUGGAGUUCCUAGAUGCCACAAAGAACAACAAGGAAGUCUGCUUUAAGCUGCUUUGUAAUUCUAUUGAGCAAACCCUCACUCCUGAUGAAUUUAAUAAUCUCUUUGAUGCCAGUGUACAAAGGCCCUCUGACUUUGCCCAGCUACAUUCCUAUGACUGGUUCAUGGAUUAUGUAAUGCUGGUGAGGAGAAACUCAUAUGUCUGCUGCAGUUCAUUACUGGCUUUCAAUCAAUUCCACCUUAUGGUCUCCCUCACAACAUUGUGCUAAGAUAUAUUCCUGAUGAUGAUGAGAAAGCUUCCAUGCCAUCAGCAACAGUACACCUGGCGAUGUUACAGCUCCCAACAAUUCAUUCCUGAGAAUGAUUUCAAUCAAAGCUUGGAUAUUGCCUUAAAGUUUGAAAGCCAGAGGUUUCCUACUAUUUAGCACCUUUGUAACUCAAAGCUAAGGAAAUACCAGUGAACUGCAGUUUUCUGAAAACACUUUAAGUUGGCUGUAUUGAUUUGUAGUUGUUCUCUUGUUUGUUUUGAUGCAUUACAUAUAACUUAUUAAACUUUCAUAAAGAAAUAACAAUUGUUAGUCCCAGACUGAGGGACUGAAGGCUGGUUUUAACUAGCGAUGGAGUCGUAGUUGGAGUUGUAUGUAAUCAGAUGCGUAGAGGAAUAUGAUCCAGUGAAAAUGAAACGGUCGUACGAACGUACAUCCAAAUUUUUUCGGCUUGAUGGGUUACUACUAUUUUGUAUAAUUAUGGGGCUACGCUCUGCGAGCUCCGCUAACAUGUUUGCUAGGAAAAUGUAACUGACCCAAGCUCUUUUAUUUUCUUGAGUUUCAGAAUAAUUUUUUUCUCAAAUUACAGGUUUUCAUUUCGUUUCGUUUCGUUUCGCAAAUUACAGUAAGCCGAAUUUUGGGGUGAUCGGGGUGUUCGGAGUGAUUGAAUAGCGUUUUGCUUCCAGUGGAUUCACUCGGUUGGCGUUACUCACAGAUUUGUUUUGGAAGGGAUUAUGUAGAGGGUUAGGCAGAUGAACUAAAACCGGGCUAAAUUAACCGAGCUCAGCCCAAAAAAAUUCUCUCGAUGCAAAAGAACAACCACUUGAACGGGGUAAAUUUGUCAAAUUUUUAUUGUCAAAGUAUUAUUCAAAACACGUCCAGAUCUUUCUAAAGUCGAGAGCGCGGCUGUUUAUUCCCAUGCAAAUCCCUGAUUCACCCAUUGCGCAACGGAAAAAUAUUUGCAUAAUCACAGAGGCUCACCGUGUGAGCUUGGGUUUUCAGUAAUUGGACGUCAAAAUUGUUAAAUAUAGAUAUAUAUAAAUGUAUGUUAACGUUAUCUUCUUUAAACCCGA